rnacentral:rRNA from 1 species
AUUUAACGCUGGCGGCAGGCCUAACACAUGCAAGUCGAACGAGUGGCGGACGGGUGAGUAAUGUCUGGGAAACUGCCUUAUGGCGGGGGAUAACUACUGGAAACGGUAGCUAAUACCGCAUAACAUCGGCUUUUCCCAGAUGGGAUUAGCUAGUAGGUGGGGUAAACGCUCACCUAGGCGACGAUCCCUAGCUGGUCUGAGAGGAUGACCAGCCACACUGGAACUGAGCCACGGUCCAGACUCCUACGGGAGGCAGCAGUGGUGAAUAUUGCACAAUGGGCGCAAGCCUGAUGCAGCCAUGCCGCGUGUAUGAAGAAGGCCUUCGGGUUGUAAAGUACUUUCAGCGAGGAGGCGUUACCCGCAGAAGAAGCACCGGCUAACUCCGUGCCAGCAGCCGCGGUAAUAC